rnacentral:rRNA from 1 species
AGUGAACGCUGGCGGUAGGCCUAACACAUGCAAGUCGAACGGCAGCACAGUAAGAGCUUGCUCUUACGGGUGGCGAGUGGCGGACGGGUGAGGAAUACAUCGGAAUCUACUUUUUCGUGGGGAUAACGUAGGGAAACUUACGCUAAUACCGCAUACGACCUACGGGUGAAAGCAGGGGAUCUUCGGACCUUGCGCGAUUGAAUGAGCCGAUGUCGGAUUAGCUAGUUGGCGGGGUAAAGGCCCACCAAGGCGACGAUCCGUAGCUGGUCUGAGAGGAUGAUCAGCAACACUGGAACUGAGACACGGUCCAGACUCCUAUGGGAGGCAGCAGUGGGGAAUAUUGGACAAUGGGCGCAAGCCUGAUCCAGCCAUACCGCGUGGGUGAAGAAGGCCUUCGGGUUGUAAAGCCCUUUUGUUGGGAAAGAAAAGCAGCAGGUUAAUACCCCGCUGUUCUGACGGUACCCAAAGAAUAAGCACCGGCUAACUUCGUG